GAGAGGAGUUCCUCCCUUAGUACUAAGGAGGACCUACAAGGUAAAGUGAAAAAGGUUGAGUCUUAGAUUUUAACUUAGAUGUGGAUAUUCUGCCAAAGUCCCACUUUGGUACUGAGGAUGGAAAUUUGGGGAUUAGUCAAGUUUCUCAGCCUCAGAACUGAUGAGAAGGCCUUUUGAAAAUCUGCAAAGUUCUUAAAAGGGUACCUGCACCUUACUAGAAGAUGGGAAGCAAGAUUAAAAAGCAACAACAUUUGUCCUUAAUGCAGCCAGCAUGGGCACUGUGAUUCCACUAAGAACUGCAAAAAACAAAGCUGCAAGUAUCAUGCCAAAGACAGAACUGGGCUAAAAGGUCUUUUUUAUACCAACAUUUCCAGUCUCCAGCAGCAGAUUUCAGCUAUUAUCUUAAAUCGAAUGUAAACGUUGUUAUUUAGAAGUAUACAUCAGUGUCAUAAAUAAAAAAGUAGCUGGAUGAAUUUAAGUGCUCAGAAUGGUGUUAUCUGGGCUACUCAAAGUAUUCCGAGUAAAGGUAUUUUCCAUCUC